rnacentral:rRNA from 1 species
UAGGCGUAAAUGAUGCGAGUUAAGUGUGGGGGCAUCUACGAGAUGGCCCUGUGCUGUAGGGUAGCCGUUAAACUCGCUGCCUGGGGAGUACGGUCGCAAGGCUGAAACUUAAAGGAAUUGGCGGGGGAGCACCACAAGAGGUGGAGGCUGCGGUUUAAUUGGAUUCAACGCCGGAAAUCUUACCGGGACCGACAGCAACAUGAAGGCCAGGCUGAAGACUUUGCCGGAUUAGCUGAGAGGAGGUGCAUGGCGUAGUCGUG